UGAGUAACACGUGGGUAACCUGCCUGUAAGACUGGGAUAACUCCGGGACCCCGGGGCUAAUACCGGAUAACUUCUUUCUUCGCAUGGAGAAAGAUUGAAAGAUGGCUUCGGCUAUCACUUACAGAUGGACCCGCGGCGCAUUAGCUAGUUGGUGAGGUAACGGCUCACCAAGGCAACGAUGCGUAGCCGACCUGAGAGGGUGAUCGGCCACACUGGGACUGAGACACGGCCCAGACUCCUACGGGAGGCAGCAGUAGGGAAUCUUCCGCAAUGGACGAAAGUCUGACGGAGCAACGCCGCGUGAGUGAUGAAGGUUUUCGGAUCGAAAAACUCUGUUGUUAGGGAAGAACUAGUACCGUUCGAAUAGGGCGGUACCUUGAC
rnacentral:rRNA from 1 species